rnacentral:rRNA from 1 species
GACGAACGCUGGCGGCGUGCCUAACACAUGCAAGUCGAACGGGGCCCGCAAGGGUUCAGUGGCGGACGGGUGCGUAACACGUGAAGAACAUGUCUUUCGGUGGGGGAGUAGCCGGCCCAACGGCCGGGUAAUACCGCAUACGCUGUUCGGGGCGUCAUGCCCUGAAUCGGAAAGCAGCAAUGCGCCGAUAGAGUGCUUCGCGGCCUAUCG